UUCUGCCCAGUGCCCUGAACGUCAAAGUGAAGAAGUUCAAUGACACAUGGAUAAAUGGCGGGAGUAACUACAAUUCUCUUAAGGUAGCCAAACAUUCUGUCAUCUAAUCAGGGAAAUGCAUGAACGGA
rfam:Callipepla squamata strain Texas jcf7180005234114, whole genome shotgun sequence.